UGUCUUCGGGGCGGGGUGAAAGUCCCCACCGGCGGUAUAGUCCGCGAGCGCCCUCGGCGCAGGAAUCGGUGCAAUUCCGAUACCGACAGUUACAGUCUGGAUGAGAGAAGGCG
rnacentral:ncRNA from 1 species